rnacentral:rRNA from 1 species
GUGGGGAAUAUUGGACAAUGGGCGAAAGCCUGAUCCAGCCAUGCCGCGUGUGUGAAGAAGGUCUUCGGAUUGUAAAGCACUUUAAGUUGGGAGGAAGGGUAGUAACCUAAUACGUUGCUACUUUGACGUUACCGACAGAAUAAGCACCGGCUAACUUCGUGCCAGCAGCCGCGGUAAUACGAAGGGUGCAAGCGUUAAUCGGAAUUACUGGGCGUAAAGCGCGCGUAGGUGGUUCAGUAAGUUGGAAGUGAAAUCCCCGGGCUCAACCUGGGAACUGCUUUCAAAACUGCUGAGCUAGAGUACGGUAGAGGGUGGUGGAAUUUCCUGUGUAGCGGUGAAAUGCGUAGAUAUAGGAAGGAACACCAGUGGCGAAGGCGACCACCUGGACUGAUACUGACACUGAGGUGCGAAAGCGUGGGGAGCAAACAGGAUUAGAAACCCGUGUAGUC